UACGAAGGGGGCUAGCGUUGCUCGGAAUCACUGGGCGUAAAGCGCACGUAGGCGGCUUCUUAAGUCAGGGGUGAAAUCCUGGAGCUCAACUCCAGAACUGCCUUUGAUACUGAGGAGCUUGAGUCCGGGAGAGGUGAGUGGAACUGCGAGUGUAGAGGUGAAAUUCGUAGAUAUUCGCAAGAACACCCGUGGCGAAAGCGGCUCUCUGGAACGGUACUGACGCUGAGACGCGAAAGCGUGGGAGCGAACAGG
rnacentral:rRNA from 1 species